rnacentral:lncRNA from 1 species
GAGGCGUCAGUGUGAAGGGAAGGCUAAGGACGCAUCGGUGCUGGAGAGUUGAGAAUAUGCCUUCCCCUCCACCCUCAACCCAGUCACCUUAUUUGAAAAAAAAUUAAAAAACACCUUUUAUUUAAAAACCUAACCCUGGAAGUUUGCUCGCUGACAUCAGGGGAGCAAUGUGAACACAGGAAAAUGGAAAUCAACAUUUGAAACUUUUAAAUGGAAGCUUUAUUGGGUUUCCACAUAUGGAAAACUGCAAAUAGCAGAAGUAUGUGACUCAAUAAAUUAUUCUGGAGUGACCACAUCCUCUAACUGCCUCCCAGGACAAGAAGGAGAAUGUGAACAAUGCUCCUGAAGGCCCCUUUCCCUCAAAGAAUCACUGCAAUUGAAGGAAAAAUGCUCCAUGUCCCCUCUGCCAGUUGGUGUUUAUCAAAGGACAACGGAGGAAGAGAGACAAAGUGCCUGGAUGUGUGUGUUAAUCAAGAGUUGUCAGGACCCUGCCUCUAAAAGAAAGCGCUAAAAUGAUGCUUUUGACAAGACUUUUCUCAAAGUGGAUGCAGUCUAAGGGUUGGAAAACAAGGCCCAAUCAGGCUAGGUCUGACUUGUCGCCUGCUUUUGUAAAUAAAGUUUUAUUGGCUCACAGACA